UACGAAGGGGGCUAGCGUUGUUCGGAAUUACUGGGCGUAAAGGGCGCGUAGGCGGUGUGUCAAGUCAGGCGUGAAAGCCCCGGGCUCAACCUGGGAACCGCGCUUGAGACUGGCACGCUCGAGUUCGGGAGAGGAUGGUGGAAUUCCCAGUGUAGAGGUGAAAUUCGUAGAUAUUGGGAAGAACACCGAUGGCGAAGGCAGCCAUCUGGACCGACACUGACGCUGAGGCGCGAAAGCUAGGGGGAGCAAACGGG
rnacentral:rRNA from 1 species